AUGAUGUUCCUUAUGAGAGAUGAAAAAAUUGGCCUGAGUUCUUCAAGUAACUGACAUUGAAUGCCAUCUUUUCCAGAAUAGACUACCAUUUAAGAUUUCUGCAUACAGUAAUGCUGUGAAGUGAGCUGCACAAGACUGAGCUACCAUGGCAACCUCCAAAUAAUUCAACUCCAGCCAGAAAGCAUCAUCAAAAACUGUCCCUGAGGAGGGUCUGAUAAAAAAUUAAGUCCCACGAGCUGCUCAGUCUCCUCUCCUUCACAGGGUUUUUCUGAGGAUGAAAAGAGACAAUGUAUGUGAAAGUAAUAUUACACAAGAAUUCUGCCUUUGCCAAGGGCCUUAAAAAGACCGACUAAAAUACAAAACACAAUGGCAAAAGCAAAGUAUUCAUGGUCUCCAGAAGUGGAGCUCAACGAGGAAUACAGAAUUUACAACAAAAAAAUGGAUGUGCAGUUGGAUUUCUACAGAAAAGAUAUUCUCACUGGCCCCAUCUCUUUUGUUUUGUUGAUGCAGUUUAUCUUUACAUCACAAUCGUGAUCCAUCCCGAGAAUAAUUACUGUCAAGAAGAAAGAUACAUUUAAGAAAAUCUACAUGAUUUAAAUCAUAUGACACAUAACUCUGAUCAUAUUACUCUAACACUCAAAAACUUAGAAUGACUCCUUAUAGCCUACUGAAUAAAAUUCCAAAUCGUUAACCUGGCAUUCAAAGUGUCUCACAAUUUGAUCCCAAUUUACUUUUCCAGGCUUUACC